rnacentral:rRNA from 1 species
AGCAGCCGCGGUAAUUCCAGCUCCAAUAGCGUAUAUUAAAGUUGUUGCAGUUAAAAAGCUCGUAGUUGAAUUUCGGGGUCAGUAGGCUGGUCGUGCCACUGGUAUGCACUGGUCUCACUGAUUCCUCCUUCCUGAUGAACCGUAAUGCCAUUAAUUUGGUGUUGCGGGGAAUCUGGACUGUUACUUUGAAAAAUUAGAGUGUUUAAAGCAGGCUAACGCUUGAAUACAUUAGCAUGGAAUAAUGGAAUAGGACGGUCGAUCCUAUUUUGUUGGUUUCUAGGAUUGACGUAAUGAUUAAUAGGGAUAGUUGGGGGCAUUAGUACUCAAUUGUCAGAGGUGAAAUUCUUGGAUUUAUUGAAGACUAACUACUGCGAAAGCAUUUGCCAAGGAUGUUUUCAUUAAUCAAGAACGAAAGUUAGGGGAUCGAAGACGAUCAGAUACCGUCGUAGUCUUAACCAUAAACUAUGCCGACUAGGGAUCGGAUGAUGUUAAUUUUUAAUGA